UACGGAAGGCAGCAGUGGGGAAUAUUGCACAAUGGGCGCAAGCCUGAUGCAGCCAUGCCGCGUGUAUGAAGAAGGCCUUCGGGUUGUAAAGUACUUUCAGUCGUGAGGAAGGUGUUAAGGUUAAUAACCUUAGCAAUUGACGUUAGCGACAGAAGAAGCACCGGCUAACUCCGCGCCAGCAGCCGCGGUAAUACGGAGGGUGCGAGCGUUAAUCGGAAUUACUGGGCGUAAAGGGCACGCAGGCGGUUAAUUAAGUUGGAUGUGAAAUCCCCGGGCUUAACCUGGGAAUGGCAUUCAAGACUGGUUAGCUAGAGUCUUGUAGAGGGGGUAGAAUUCCAUGUGUAGCGGUGAAAUGCGUAGAGAUGUGGAGGAAUACCGGUGGCGAAGGCGGCCCCUGGGACAAAGGACUGACGCUCAUGUGCGAAAGCGUGGGGAGCAAACG
rnacentral:rRNA from 1 species